UACAGAGGUCUCAAGCGUUGUUCGGAUUCAUUGGGCGUAAAGGGUGUGUAGGUGGCGCGGUAAGUCGGGUGUGAAAUUUCGGAGCUUAACUCCGAAACUGCAUUCGAUACUGGCGUGCUUGAGGACUGGAGAGGAGACUGGAAUUCAUGGUGUAGCAGUGAAAUGCGUAGAGAUCAUGAGGAAGACCAGUGGCGAAGGCGGGUCUCUGGACAGUUCCUGACACUGAGACACGAAGGCCAGGGGAGCAAACGGG
rnacentral:rRNA from 1 species